rnacentral:lncRNA from 1 species
AGCAGAGGAAUCCCCACGAGAAAGAGUGGGAUACAAGAAGACAGUCUCCAGAGCUUCCCUGGUGGAGGUUUCCUCCACACCACAGAGAAAGUGACAAAGGGGCAGGGGCCAUCCAGGCAGAGCCCGAGAGACAGAUGGGUCGCUAAAACGAAGACAAGGGAAGUGUGGUUCUUUAGGUUUCUAAGGAGAAGAAAGAGCACAGAGCACAGAGGAGGAAGGGAGAGCCUGUUUGUGACGGCAGGGAAGGAAAUCAGAGAAGACUGGGGCUGAAUUAUCCAGGAAAAACAGUUGUAUUGACUUUACCUGAGCAGUGCCGAAAGCAACUGCUGCGGCGGAGACUUCCAGACGCAGAUGCUUUCAGGGCGGUACUUCCUGCCCAGCAGUCAAGGAGGAGAAAACUGGGGAGAUACAUGGAAGAGUGAGUUGUUUUCCCUGGGCAACACACAGCGAGAGAAAUAAGGGUCCAUCCCCACAGCAUCCUCGGCUCUCAGGCACACAUACUGUGUCACUGAGAAGAAGAAGAUGAAGACGUCGAAUUUGGAAGGCACAGUGGUGUCACAGCCUAAGAACGACUCGGGUCAGAUCCAGUCACCUGUUCUCAAUAAGCCAACUAAAAGAGCCAAAUUCAAAGCAAGAAGCAGAAAAAGGAGAUUUAUUCAAUGUGGGCACAUUGACAAGAAAGAUCCAGAAACCCCACCCCACCCCAUCUUCAGGGUCCUAAGGUAAGACCAAAGGUUAGAGCAGAGGAUACACACAUCUGAGCAAUCCUGGUGAGGGUAUGUGCCUGCCCACCGCUGGCCUACCCUUGUCUGGACUGACAAGUUAGAACUGGGUGAAAUCUCUUCCGGGACACAGGUUCCCGCUCUGGCUGCUACCUGCUCCUUUUCCAAGCAUGAGAUUCUUGAGGAAAUCCUCAUUGCUUUGGGGUUGGUUGUUUUAACAGUUUGGGAGUCAGCCUGGGAUACAGUGUCUCUUUAAGAGUUCUCCACUCCAGCCAGGCCUGUUCUAGAGGCUGGCAUUUGUGAGGCAGAGAAGGUACUAGAGAAGGGGGGUGGGGGUGGGAUGGAGUGACGCUGAAAAAGAACUUCCUUGUGGCUGAAUACAAAGCUUCGCAAGAUCCAAUCCAAGUGAUUGGGCAAAGAAACCCUCGGGAAGCUCAAAUCUUAACAGUUUCCUGAGCUUGGCAAGGCUGGGAAACAUUUCAGUUCCAAGGAGACAGAAUGGUCUGAACCCUUGUGGUCUUUAAGAGUAGCUGACUAUGGGUUGGUGAGAUGGCUCAGUGGGUAAGAGCACCCGACUGCUCUUCCGAAGGUCCAGAGUUCAAAUCCCAGCAACCACAUGGUGGCUCACAACCAUCCGUAACAAGAUCUGACUCCCUCUUCUGGUGUGUCUGAAGACAGCUACAGUGUACUUACAUAUAAUAAUAAAUAAAUCUUAAAAAAAAAAGAGUAGCUGACUACCACAUUCUUCUGUAGAAGCAUUAAGGCAACACUGAUGCCUGAGACCCUGUAGGGACUGAGGAAGACGCUCUGGACUUGGGAUCUGGAUUUGAACACAGUAAUCAUGAUUCUGUUGUAGCGACAGUCUGGGGCUGUGUUGUCUAUUAGCCUCCAGUCAAAUAGGACUACUGAGUCCAUGAAGUGUAGUUAGAGAAAAUAAACUUCAGUUUAAUUAACUUUAAUAGAGAUUUUCUUUAUUGCAAACUGACUGCUAACUCACUAUAUCACCCAGGCUAGCUUAAAAAUCUGGCUUCAACCUUCAAGCAUAGGUAUGUACUGCCUUAACUCUUGAGUAGUGGGAGCAGGAGAUUGGGAGUCUGGGCUAGCCUGGGCUACAUGAGACUGUCUCAGACACUUCCAGUGAAAAGAUAGCAAAUUUAAAAAUAACUUUUCUCCCAACAGUUAAAUGAGAGUUGCCUGAAAUUAGAAGUAAAUGUUCAAUAAAUAUUUUUAAGUAAUUCUUAACCAGGACCGGGUUCAUAAUGUUAGCUGCUACCAAUAAGAUGAUUUGAAUUCCCACACCCAAAAGAGAACCACUUUUAGAUGGAGGGGUGGCCAAGAACAUUACCAUCUCCAUCUUAGAAAUUCUGCUGGAGAAAAUAAGGGGAAGAUCUGAGAGACAUUUUACAACUAGUAUAAGCUCAACACAGCCUUUAGGGGAAGCAGUUUGGAAGUUCCUG